GACGUCGAAUAUCGACGUCAUAAACACCAAAGUUGCUCGUGUUUAUGACGUCGAAUAUCGACGUCAUAAACACCAAACUUGCUCGUGUUUAUGACGUCGAAUAUCGACGUCAUAAACACCAAAGUUGCUCGUGUUUAUGACGUCGAAUAUCGACAUC
rnacentral:miRNA from 1 species